CACAGUUUUAUUUGUCUUGGACAUUGCACAUCAAGUCCUCUUAUUCAUUUUUAUUUUAAUCAGACAAGAUUUUUCAGAACCUUGCCUACUUUUGAAACAACGUCAUUCAAAGUAGAUGUUAGUGGUCCAGUUUACACUUUAGAUCAUGUACAGACAAAAUAAGAAUGAACGUUGAACACAGGAUGUGGAAGGGGCGCAAGUUAGUGUCUACAUUUAGAACCUCCAGUAGUUCUUACAAACAUAAGCUUAAUUUUACAGUACAGGAGGGCUCAAAGAUCUGUACCAUUGCCACAUGGUGGGGCCUGUAUGCCCCUGUGAUGGCUGAAAGUUGAUCUUGUGCCUCAAUUACACAAUGAUUGGUUCCACCAUGUAAUGAGAAAAUCUCAACGGGCUACUAGUUAACUACCAAGCCUUGUUAUUUUCGGAGUAUCUUGCAUCUUUCCAGCAGUAGCUUAUUUAGGGGAGGCAGGUAGGAAAUGUCCUCCCACUUAGGAAGCUUCAGAACAUGUUACAGUAGGUAAUUAGGCAAACAUGAGCAGGGCAGAAGAGGGCCCCACACCAGUAUUGUCAGGAGACCAUCCAGUGAUGGUCAGGUGGUUGUUAAACUGUCUCUUUAAAAUAAUAAUUGGUUGUAGUUGGCACCAGGGAGAGGCAGUCUCCUAACAGAUAGAAAAGCCUGAAACUGGUGAUCAGCAGCUUCCUAAUAAUAUCUCAGGAGUUGGAUGAGUGGGCUCAAGCAUACACACUGAGAGGCAAAAAUGGUGGCAUCUGACUGCUAUACGAUCUUCCUCUAGGAACAUUCAGCUGGCAAGGGAAAAUGCCUCAAGUGAGUAUGUUCACAACUCCAGUAAUCACACUGCGCAUGCGGCCCCUCCCAAGUGCUGGCAGGUCACUGCACAUACUGACAGCCUACUGCAAUGAAAGAAUCAGGGGAGAAUGGACACAAGACCCCGGAAGGAUGCCAAUGUAUGAAACCCCAAGUCAAAGCAACCUAUGUACUUGGAUCUCUCAAGUUGCCCACUUGGCCCUCUUCCAAGUGUACCUUACUUCCUUUUGUUCCUGCUCUAAAACCUUUUAAUAAACUUUCACUCCUGCUUUAAAACUUGCUUCAGUCUCUCCCUCUACCUCAUGUUCCUUGGUCAAAUUCUUUCUUCUGAGGAGGCGAGAAUUGAGGUUGCUGUAGACGCGUGUAGAUUCACCAGUGCUAACAAACACAGUUUACUGAACUGUUGCAGGUUCCACCCUCACUUCCGUGAAAGCAACGUGAGCCAAUUGUGACCCAUCAUGUCAGUAGUUUCAGUGGUGGGAUUGCAUGAAAAACACAAUGGUGAAACUCAUUCCUUUUAAAUGACAGUUCUGUACAAGUGUUCCUUCCUACUGAGAUUCCCAUGACGUUCGUCUCCAGGGUUGCGUUAGCAUUUCUCCAAGGAAGCUUGUCCCAGCCCUUUGAGUAGGAGCUGCACUGCAGGGCUGGAAUGAUGGGUUGGAAGGUCGCUCUCACUAAUAUGAGCUAUGGUGACUUCGUGCAAGUGAAUUGUGAACAGUAAUUCAGCUGAACUAAAUGGGAGCACUCAGGAAAACUUAAGGCAAAGGGGAAAAAGGAGUUAGAGUAGACAUGAGACUCACAAAGCUUACGUGGGAUUUCUUGAGAAAGAGCCUCCUCAGGUACUCAGUUGAUGGCCCAUGGCAAGACUGAAAUUAUUGCCAAGUUCGCUAGUGAGUGGGAUUUAAGAUAAUAAAAACUCCACAUUGCUAAAAGCCAAAAAGCCAAACUUUGUGCCAUGUUUUAUGUCAGAAAAUGUGCUUAUAGAAUGCCACAUAGGCCAAAGUUCACACUUAUUUUUUUUUCUCAAUUUGAAAAGGAAGUGGGGGUUACAACAAUGUCUCACAUAUCCCACUGUGUAUUUACAGUGGAGUUAGUUUUUCCAAGCCAGAAAAACAAGACCCCUCAGCUGUCAGAUAUCAAACUGGAUCAACAUUACCGAUGCAUUAGUAGAUAAUUCUCCGUAUUAGUUCUCAUGUUUCUAUUACGUAUAACUUACUUUUUAACCACAGCUUUGCUUUAAACUAUAAUUAAAAAGUCAACUGAAUCUCUGUGAAAACAAAUGGCUCCUGAGAUUUUGAAACUACCAGAAACUACCAGAAAUUUAAACAGCCUCAGGAGACAGCACCUACAGGAAUAAUGACAAGCCUGUAGAUUGCAUACCGAAAAUUACUUAGUUGUUAACUAAUUUAUGACUUGGAAUUUUGAUAAUAACUUUCAGCCAGUAGGGUCAUUGUGAAGACUUUAAAACUGCUGUGCAAGUCAGAAUGUGACUCAGCCACAGAGAACUGAGACUUUUUCAAUCUGAGGGCAUGGUGGGAGGUGGGUCCUUCCUAACUACCUUGUGGGGGUACAGGAAGAAAGAGAAAGAUCCCCACAGAGGCUGACUGUGUUGGCCUAAGUGUGGGGAUUUCCACCAAGCACCCUAGUGAUGCCCAUGCUGCUGGCCUAAGGACCUUGCUGUGGGCACCACAGGACUUGGGACUUCACCCCUCAGAGUGGGAAGCUUCUCUUCCUCAUCUGGCCUGUGCUGGAACCCACGGUGAACGGCUUCUUGGAGCAGAAUGUGCAACUCUGACAGAGAGUAAAUUCUUCCUCAUGUUAAACUGAGGAUUGCGCAACCCCUGAUAUGGCAGUCUUGCUGAUACAACUUGCUGCAAAGAGACACCCACACUUUUCCCAGGGCUGAGAAGACAAGCAGUUGAUGAUCUAUAUUGUGGCUGUACUUGUGAACCUGGGAGCUGACAGGCAGGAUCACUGAACCCCUCCCUCAAAUCUGAGGAAGUCUAAGGGCUAUGAUCCCUGUGGUCAGCUGGCCGAGGCAUUCUCCCUAGAAACAGGCCUCUGCAUGGAUUCAAGUUCACUGAUUUGCUGAAGAGUUGUUAGGAUUCUGUCCAGGAGGGACAGACAUUCCACCCUCACUCUCAUCAACCCCCAAAACGUGUAGGUUUGGAUAAAUCCCAGGGAUCAUCCUCAAUUGGCUCAUUUAAAGAUAGAGAAGUCUGGGCACAGUGGUUCACGCCUGUAAUCCUAGCACUUUGGGAGGCCGAGGCAGGUGGAUC
rnacentral:lncRNA from 1 species